UGCACAAGCCAUCACACUUCCUCACAUCACUCCACACCAAAUAAGAGAGGUAUGAAAAAAAAGGCCCUAUGAAACUCACCUGCAGCCAUUACUGGUUACUUCUGUGAAAUUGCCUGUAUUUUAAAUGUUUACAUGUGCUUGGAUGAACAUGUUGACUUGUCUGAGAAUUCUCACACCAAAAUGUCUUCACAUUAUGUUCUUCCAGUUCCAAAAGUAUUGGCUCAACUUGUGGAACUUGAAAAGUGACUGAGUCCUGGUCCUGAGAAGAAAUAGUCAUCAUGGCAUGCCUGAAUUUCUUUCCAGUCAACAGAUGUUUGCAUGGCUGUUCAUUCAUCUUUCCAUAAGGACUCUUGUAGCACUACAAGAAAGAUGGAUCCCAGUUUGGCAUUUUACUAUGGAUUUCUGUGCUGAGCUGCUGCAUCAGCUUCACUGGCAUUUGCACUUUUAAUGGAGGAGGAACAGGGUGAAGAAAAUCAUGUAGGUCUGGUGUUUGGGAUAAGUGCUCAGAAAGUUCAUAAAACAAGUUCAUUAACAGCAAUUAUGUGGGUAAGCUCAUAAGAACGUAUAGCCAUUGCAUGUGGCAGCUCUUUUAUUGCUAUGAUUGAUGUAAAAUAAUGGCUCUCAAAGGGAUGAUCAUUGUUGGUUUUGAUAAGUUAAAUCAUUACACGGGCUUAUUUGGAUGAGGAAGUUUUCAUUUGRUGGUAACACAUGAAGUCCUUGCUGACUACAAAUGCCCCAGAAGRUUGGUGGCCUAGGAGAAAAAUCCUAGUUUCAUGUUGCCAACAUUUGACAAGACACUAGAGGGACGGGUUAUAGUCAAUAGUAGUGACUCACUGUUUUCUUUUCCUAAGGCAUCUCAGCCAAAUGAACCAGCAGUUCUGCCAGAGUUGCUACAUGCUGCUCAGCUAUUUUUUUCUUGCUCAAUUUAAUGGAUGAGUUGUGGGAACUCAGAGCUACACGGGACAGAGCCAGACCACAGAAAGGAAAGCUUAAAACUGCUGAGCAAAAUGUCACUGCAGGGUAUGAUAAAUAGUGCAGGCAUUUUUGAUGCUACUUAAUGAUACUCAUUUUGAAUAACAAUUAUAAAAUAAAAACUACAUGGUGUGUCUGUCUUACA
rnacentral:lncRNA from 1 species